UAGAGCGGCGGACGGGUGAGUAACACGUGGACAAUCUCGCCCCCCGGCCCGGGACUAGCCCAGGGAAACCUGGAUUAAUACCGGAUGAGACGGGACCCGCGAUGGCGGGAUCCGGGAAAGGCGCUGCGGCGCCGCCGGGGGAUGAGUCUGCGUCCCAUUAGCUAGACGGCGGGGUAACGGCCCACCGUGGCGACGAUGGGUAGCCGGCCUGAGAGGGUGGACGGCCACAUUGGAACUGAGACACGGUCCAGACUCCGUACGGGAGGCAGCAGCUAAGAAUCUUCCGCAAUGGGCGAAAGCCUGACGGAGCGAACCGCCGCGUGAACGAAGAAGGCCGUGAGGUUGUAAAGUUCUUUUCGGGAGGGGGAACAACCGUGGCAGGGAAUGGCCGCGGGAUGACGUGAAUCCCGGAAUAAGCCCCGGCUAACUACGUGCCAGCCGCAGC
rnacentral:rRNA from 1 species